rnacentral:rRNA from 1 species
GCUUGACUGUAGCCUGGAAUUGGGUUUGGGCUCUUCUUGCGCAGCCUAGGUGGGAGGCGUUGAAGGUUUCCUUCCGGGGAAAUUGGAGCCAUCAGUGAGAGACCACUCUGGAAAGGCUAGAAUCCUAAUAGUGAUCCUUUAUUCAGGACACUUGACGUUUUCAGGUGGGCAGUUUCUUUGGGGCGAAGACCUCAUAAAAGGUAACUGAGGCGCGCAAAGGUUCCCUCAGUCUGGACGGAAAUCAGACGUAAAAGAGUGUAAAGGCAAAAGGGAGCUUGACUGCAAGACCUACAAGUCGAGCAGGGGCGAAAGCCGGCCUUAGUGAUCCGACGGUGCCGCGUGGAAGGGCCGUCGCUCAACGGAUAAAAGUUACUCUAGGGAUAACAGGCUGA